AUUAGAUACCCUGGUAGUCCACGCAGUAAACGAUGAAUGCUAAUUGUCCGUUGCGAAUGAGCGAUGGGUGAUACAGCGAAAGCGUUAAGCAUUCCACCUGGGGAGUACGCCGGCAACGGUGAAACUCAAAGGAAUUGACGGGGGCCCGCACAAGCGGAGGAACAUGUGGUUUAAUUCGAUGAUACGCGAGGAACCUUACCCGGGCUCAAACGCCGUCUGACGUAGGCUGAAAGGCUUAUUUCUUCGGACAGACGGCGAGGUGCUGCAUGGUUGUCGUCAGCUCGUGCCGUGAGGUGUCGGCUUAAGUGCCAUAACGAGCGCAACCCCUGUCGACAGUUGCUAACAGGUUAAGCUGAGGACUCUGUCGAGACUGCCGGCGCAAGCUGUGAGGAAGGCGGGGAUGACGUCAAAUCAGCACGGCCCUUACGUCCGGGGCGACACACGUGUUACAAUGGCAGGUACAGCGGGAAGCCACCCGGCGACGGGGCGCGGAACCCGAAAACCUGUCUCAGUUCGGAUUGGAGUCUGCAACCCGACUCCAUGAAGCUGGAUUCGCUAGUAAUCGCGCAUCAGCCACGGCGCGGUGAAUACGUUCCCAGGCCUUGUACACACCGCCCGUCAAGCCAUGGAAGCCGGGGGUACCUGAAGUACGUGACCGCAAGGAGCGUCCUAAGGUAAAACCGGUGACUGGGGCUAAGUCGUAACAAGGUACC
rnacentral:rRNA from 1 species